rnacentral:rRNA from 1 species
AAGACCUCGCGCUAUUGGAGCGGCCGAUGUCUGAUUAGCUAGUUGGUGGGGUAAUGGCCUACCAAAGCGUCGAUCAGUAGCUGGUCUGAGAGGACGGCCAGCCACACUGGGACUGAGACACGGCCCAGACUCCUACGGGAGGCAGCAGUGGGGAAUUUUGGACAAUGGGCGCAAGCCUGAUCCAGCCAUGCCGCGUGAGUGAAGAAGGCCUUCGGGUUGUAAAGCUCUUUCAGCCGGGAAGAAAAGGUUGCGAUUAAUAAUCGCAAUUUAUGACGGUACCGGAAGAAGAAGCACCGGCUAACUACGUGCCAGCAGCCGCGGUAAUACGUAGGGUGCGAGCGUUAAUCGGAAUUACUGGGCGUAAAGGGUGCGCAGGCGGUUUUGUAAGUCAGAUGUGAAAUCCCCGGGCUUAACCUGGGAACU